AUUGAACGCUGGCGGCAGGCCUAACACAUGCAAGUCGAACGAGUGGCGGACGGGUGAGUAAUGUCUGGAAAACUGCCCGAUGGAGGGGGAUAACUACUGGAAACGUUAGCUAAUACCGCAUACCAUCGGAUGUGCCCCGAUGGGAUUAGCUAGUAGGUGGGGUAACGGCUCACCUAGGCGACGAUCCCUAGCUGGUCUGCGAGGAUGACCAGCCACACUGGAACUGAGACACGGUCCAGACGCCUACGGGAGGCAGCAGUGGGGAAUAUUGCACAAUGGGCGCAAGCCUUAUGCAGCCAUGCCGCGUGUAUGAAGAAGGCCUUCGGGUUGUAAAGUACUUUCAGCGUGGAGGCGGUACUCGCAGAAGAAGCACCGGCUAACUCCGUGCCAGCAGCCGCGGUAAUUC
rnacentral:rRNA from 1 species